AAACUUUCAACAACGGAUCUCUUGGUUCUGGCAUCGAUGAAGAACGCAGCGAAAUGCGAUAAGUAAUGUGAAUUGCAGAAUUCAGUGAACCAUCGAAUCUUUGAACGCACAUUGCGCCCGCCAGCACUCUGGCGGGCAUGCCUGUUCGAGCGUCAUUU
rnacentral:rRNA from 1 species